GGGGAUAUAGCUCAGUUGGUAGAGUGUUUGCCUUGCAUGCACAAAGCCCUGGGUUUAAUCCCCAGGACCACA
rnacentral:tRNA from 1 species